AGCUGGGUAGCUCAGUGGAUUGAGAGCCAAUUCUAAAAAAUGGAGGUCCUAGGUUCAAAUCUAGCCCUAGCUG
rnacentral:tRNA from 1 species